rnacentral:rRNA from 1 species
AUUGAACGCUGGCGGCAGGCCUAACACAUGCAAGUAGAACGCAGUUGCGAACGGGUGAGUAACGCGUAGGUAACUGCCUCAUAGCGGGGGAUAACUAUUGGAAACGAUAGCUAAUACCGCAUACUGUGAGAUGGACCUGCGUUGUAUUAGCUAGUUGGUGAGGUAAAGGCUCACCAAGGCGACGAUACAUAGCCGACCUGAGAGGGGGGUCGGCCAAAACGGGACUGGGAAACGGCCCAGACCCCUACGGGAGGCAGCAGGAGGGAAUCUUCGGCAAUGGACGGAAGUCUGACCGAGCAACGCCGCGUGAGUGAAGAAGGUUUUCGGAUCGGAAAACUCUGUUGGUAGAGAAGCGGUAUCUAAACAGAAAGCCACGGCUAACUACGUGCCAGCAGCCGCGGUAAUAC